AGCAGCGUGGUGCAGUGGUUAGAGUGCCGAAACAGGAAUUGGGAGACCAGGGUUCAAAUCCCCUCACUGCUA